GAUUAACGCUAGCGGCAGGCCUAAUACAUGCAAGUCGAACGGCAGCGGGUCCAGCAAUGGAUGCCGGCGAGUGGCGCACGGGUGCGUAACACGUAUGCAAUCUACCCUUAACUGGGGGAUAGCCCCGAGAAAUCGGGAUUAAUACCCCAUAAUAUUAUGAAGUGGCAUCAUUUUAUAAUUAAAGUUCCGACGGUUUUGGAUGAGCAUGCGCGACAUUAGCUAGUUGGCGAGGUAACGGCUCACCAAGGCUGCGAUGUCUAGGGGUUCUGAGAGGAUUCACCCCCACACUGGUACUGAGACACGGACCAGACUCCUACGGGAGGCAGCAGUAAGGAAUAUUGGUCAAUGGACGCAAGUCUGAACCAGCCAUGCCGCGUGAAGGAAGACGGCCCUACGGGUUGUAAACUUCUUUUGUACGGGAAAAAACCACCGGUCGUGAACCGGUGCUGAUGGUACCGUAAGAAUAAGCAUCGGCUAACUCCGUG
rnacentral:rRNA from 1 species